UACAGAGGGUGCAAGCGUUAAUCGGAUUUACUGGGCGUAAAGCGCGCGUAGGUGGCCAAUUAAGUCAAAUGUGAAAUCCCCGAGCUUAACUUGGGAAUUGCAUUCGAUACUGGUUGGCUAGAGUAUGGGAGAGGAUGGUAGAAUUCCAGGUGUAGCGGUGAAAUGCGUAGAGAUCUGGAGGAAUACCGAUGGUGAAGGCAGCCAUCUGGCCUAAUACUGACACUGAGGUGCGAAAGCAUGGGGAGCAAACAGG
rnacentral:rRNA from 1 species